GCCCUCUUAGCUCAGGGGAUAGAGCGUCUGCCUCCGGAGCAGAAGGUCGUAGGUUCGAAUCCUACAGAGGGCGCCA
rnacentral:tRNA from 1 species